rnacentral:rRNA from 1 species
UACGAAGGGGGCUAGCGUUGCUCGGAAUCACUGGGCGUAAAGCGCACGUAGGCGGCUUUUUAAGUCAGGGGUGAAAUCCUGGAGCUCAACUCCAGAACUGCCUUUGAUACUGGGAAGCUUGAGUCCGGAAGAGGUGAGUGGAACUCCGAGUGUAGAGGUGAAAUUCGUAGAUAUUCGGAAGAACACCAGUGGCGAAGGCGGCUCACUGGUCCGGUACUGACGCUGAGGCGCGAAAGCGUGGGUAGCAAACAGG